rnacentral:rRNA from 1 species
GAUGAACGCUGGCGGCGUGCCUAAUACAUGCAAGUCGAGCGAACAGACGAGGAGCUUGCUCCUCUGACGUUAGCGGCGGACGGGUGAGUAACACGUGGAUAACCUACCUAUAAGACUGGGAUAACUUCGGGAAACCGGAGCUAAUACCGGAUAAUAUAUUGAACCGCAUGGUUCAAUAGUGAAAGACGGUUUUGCUGUCACUUAUAGAUGGAUCCGCGCCGCAUUAGCUAGUUGGUAAGGUAACGGCUUACCAAGGCAACGAUGCGUAGCCGACCUGAGAGGGUGAUCGGCCACACUAGAACUGAGACACGGUCCAGACUCUUACGGGAAGCAGCAGUAGUGAAUCUUCCGCAAUGGGCGAAAGCCUAACGGAACAAAGCCGCGUGAGUGAUGAAGGUCUUCGGAUCGUAAAACUCUGUUAUUAGGGAAGAACAAAUGUGUAAGUAACUAUGCACGUCUUGACGGUACCUAAUCAGAAAGCCACGGCUAACUACGUG